rnacentral:tRNA from 1 species
GCCGGCGUAGCUCAUCAGGAUAGAGCAACAGUUUCCUAAACUGUGGGUAGGAGGUUCGAGUCCUCUCGCUGGCGCCA